UGGAUGCUUAAGGUUUUUCUUAGUUUCUCCUGUAUAUGGUGAUAACUGUACAAAAGCAUCCUAGAGUAAUACAGAAGCUAUCUGUUUAACCCUGACAAGUUAAGAGGAGUUAGAUCGUUCCACUUCUGACAUUC
rnacentral:snoRNA from 1 species